GCGCUGUGAUGACGCAUUUCCUGCCAUUCGUAGUUUCCACCAGAGGUCUUAAGGACCGAAGAUGGCUUAAAUCUUCCUUGGAUGUCUGAGCGA
ensembl:snoRNA SNORD14 Small nucleolar RNA SNORD14